rnacentral:tRNA from 1 species
GCGCCCGUAGCUCAGCGGAUAGAGCACCAGUCUUCGGAACUGGGUGUCGGGAGUUCAAGUCUCUCCGGGCGCG